UGGGGAACUUUGGACAAUGGGCGAAAGCCUGAUCCAGCAAUGCCGCGUGUGUGAAGAAGGCCUUCGGGUUGUAAAGCACUUUUGUCCGGAAAGAAAUCCUUGGCUCUAAUACAGUCGGGGGAUGACGGUACCGGAAGAAUAAGCACCGGCUAACUACGUGCCAGCAGCCGCGGUAAUACGUAGGGUGCAAGCGUUAAUCGGAAUUACUGGGCGUAAAGCGUGCGCAGGCGGUUUGCUAAGACCGAUGUGAAAUCCCCGGGCUCAACCUGGGAACUGCAUUGGUGACUGGCAGGCUAGAGUAUGGCAGAGGGGGGUAGAAUUCCACGUGUAGCAGUGAAAUGCGUAGAGAUGUGGAGGAAUACCGAUGGCGAAGGCAGCCCCCUGGGCCAAUACUGACGCUCAUGCACGAAAGCGUGGGGAGCAAACAGGAUUAGAUACCCUGGUAGUCCACGCCCUAAAACGAUGUCAACUAGUUGUUGGGGAUUCAUUUCCUUAGUAACGUAGCUAACGCGUGAAGUUGACCGCCUGGGGAGUACGGUCGCAAGAUUAAAACUUAAAUGAAUUGACGGGGUCAUAGCUG
rnacentral:rRNA from 1 species